UUUUAGUGGGUGUAAAAAUUUACGACUUUCAUUGAAUAAGGUAUACACUAUAUUUUGACGGGUAUUAUUUUGGCGGAUUCAAAACUUUUAUCUAUACCUUUUCAUGUGCACUUUUAUAUUGCCGAAAUUUAAUUUGGCGAUUUUGUUCUAUCCUCAAAAAUAAGCAAAAAUUUACACCCCGUGAAAAUAGCCCUCUAAACGGUAUACGGGCGUUUUUCAAUAAAAGUGUAUUUUUCAGACUUAAAAAAAUGGAAAAUCAACUUCUCUAAAAUUUUAUUUCAAGAACUAUUUCUAAUACCUAUAUUAUAG
rnacentral:lncRNA from 1 species